GAUGAACGCUGGCGGCGUGCUUAAUACAUGCAAGUCGAGCGAACAGACGAGGAGCUUGCUGCUCUCUCGUUAGCCGAGGACGGGUGUGUAACAUGUGUAUAACCUACUUAUCAGUCUGGGAUCUCUUCGGAACACCGGCGCUUAUACCGGAUGAUCUCUUGCUCCGUAUUGUUCAAUAGUGAAAGACGGCUUUGCUGUCGGUUGGGGAUGGAUCCGCGCCUUAUUAGCUAGUUGGUAGGGUAGGGGCUUACCACGGCUACGCUGGGUAGCCGGCCUGAGAGGGUGACCGGCGACAGUGGGACUGAGAUACGGCCCAGACUCCUACGGGAGGCAGCAGUGGGGAAUAUUGCAGAAUGGGCGGAAGUCUGAUGCAGCAACGUCGGGUGCGGGAUGACGGCCUUCGGGUUGUAAACAGCUUUCGAAUGUGACGAAGCGUGAGUGACGGUAAUGGGUAAAGAAGCACCGGCUAACUACGUG
rnacentral:rRNA from 1 species